GAUGAACGCUGGCGGCGUGCCUAAUACAUGCAAGUCGAGCGAACGGACGAGAAGAUUGCUUUUCUGAUGUUAGCGGCGGACGGGUGAGUAACACGUGGAUAACCUACCUAUAAGACUGGGAUAACUUCGGGAAACCGGAGCUAAUACCGGAUAAUAUGUUGAACCGCAUGGUUCAAAAGUGAAAGACGGUCUUGCUGUCACUUAUAGAUGGAUCCGCGCUGCAUUAGCUAGUUGGUAAGGUAACGGCUUACCAAGGCAACGAUGCAUAGCCGACCUGAGAGGGUGAUCGGCCACACUGGAACUGAGACACGGUCCAGACUCCUACGGGAGGCAGCAGUAGGGAAUCUUGCGCAAUGGGCGAAAGCCUGACGGAGCAACGCCGCGUGAGUGAUGAAGGUCUUCGGAUCGUAAAACUCUGUUAUUAGGGAAGAACAUAUGUGUAAGUAACUGUGCACAUCUUGACGGUACCUAAUCAGAAAGCCACGGCUAACUACGUG
rnacentral:rRNA from 1 species